rnacentral:lncRNA from 1 species
UACCCAAUGAAGGUCAUCACUUUCAGGAAGCAUCUGGACGAACAGUCCUGCCACGCUCUUUGAAGUUCCCGACACAUGGUAACCAAGACCUGAGGGCAGCAAACCGCUGGUGCUGUCUCUGUGAGCAAGAGCCGGGUGGCACAUUUGGAAGCCAUACUGUAUUUAACUUAAUCAAAUGUGGUAUGGGAGGGGUUGGAAACCAAGUUGUCUCCUGGGGGGAAGAAAAGACAGGUUUUAUUUUUGUGGCUGUGUUUUUUUCCCUUUUUAAUCUAACUGCCUGUUGAUGUUGACACUCAUCAGGGUUGUAGGCUGUCAUGAAUGUGUACGUGCUUAACCAGUGAAUUCCAUGUUGCUCGUGUGAGGCCUUUCCUGUCAUGACCCACUGUGCUUAAGAACCUGCCUGAUGGGGAGUGUCGGCUGUGAAAUCUGCAAAAAGAGCUGACGUUCCGGCUGCCGUGAUCAUGAAUUGGGGGUGUACUCUCCUGCCUGUGCAUCUUCUCGCGCUGAGAUUUUGAGGCGGUUGCAGCCCUCGGUUAGUCUCCCAGUGGAGAGAAAUCAGUUGUGCCUCCCUGCUUCCCACCAUAGCUGCCUGAAAACAUGACGCUCUUACGCUUGUCCUUCCAUCAGGAAGGUGUCCACUCACGCCCACCCAUGAGGGGGCUUGCCGUAUGCCCUGGCCUUUGGGCAUAUUUAUGUAGAGUUCCUUUCUCCUAAGACGUGAGUUUCUGAUGGGGGAUGUACGAGUAAAAAGGUUAACUUCUGUUCUUAUGCGUGGCGCUGUGUUCACUUUCCAGAGUCUGUUUGGAUGGCGGUCUCGGGGUACGGCAGCGUG